CCUAUUCUUAUAUUAUUUCUCAGUAAAACUCUCAUAUGUUAGAUAGAAACUGGACCGUUGGAUUUACAGAUUCUUUCUCAGUUGCUACUGCAGUUUCUAUUGGUGAUCAGUCAGGUCUAGUUAUGAGUAUAUGAAUGCACAUUGCUGGUACAUAUGUGUUAUUUAAGGGGAGAAUGGAAUGCUUUCCUCUCCCCCUUCCAUGCUUUUUGACCUGUGUGCUGCAUAGUUUUAAUGUUAACUUGACACAGGCUAGGAUCGUCUGGGAAGUGGGAACCACAGCUGAGAAAAUACCUUUAUCACAUUGACCUAUAGGACCCAACUCAGGUCUCCAGGCUUGCAUUGUGGGUGGACAGCACCUUUAUCCAUGGAACGUCUUGUUGGACCCACCACACACAUUUUUGAAAAUGUGGAUGUAGUCUCUAGGGUUUCCUGAUGAAGACAUCUGAGAAUAGGCCUUGACUCUUCCAUGGACCUCAGAGCCUUCAUCCAGUAGCUGAUGGAAGCAGAAGCAGACACUCACAGAAAAACAUUGAGCUG